AAUACAUUAAUUUGACAACGCUUAAACAGUCAACAGUGUGUUGCGAUAUAUAAAUAAAAUAUUCAAAUAAACAAUGAAUUUCGCAAAGUUUUUCGUUUUUGUUCUCUUGAGUGUAAUGGCCGUUUUAUCAGUGAACGCCAAUCCAGCUCCGAAAUUUAGACCGUUUAAAAAACUGGAGAAACUUGGUCGACGCAUUCGAGAUGGUCUCAUCAAGGCGGGUCCAGCUGUCGAAGUUCUAGGACAAGCAAGCACUGUGAUUAAAGGAUAACCUAUUAAAGAAUAAAUAAUAUGAAGGCCUACCAAAAUUAUUUUUAAAAUUAUGCAUUAAGACUCAAUGUUAAGUUAUUUAAUUAGUAAUUAAUAAAUUAUUAUUAUUGAUUUAAAUCGGUUUUUUUUUGCUUUUUUACCUUAUUUAUAAUUAAACCUAUAGACCUACUUAUAUAUAACAUAUCUAGAAAUUUAAAAGACCCUUUGUCUUUUUAACAAUAUAGGAAG
rnacentral:misc_RNA from 1 species